rnacentral:tRNA from 1 species
CUGAGAAUGGUGCUCAGUGGUAGAGCAUUUGCCUAGCAUGUACAAGGCCUUGAGUUUAAUCCCCAAUACUGAGU